GCGUAUUGUUGACAAAUUUAGGAGUUCAUUAACUCCUAAAUUGGUUGAAACACUAGUGUGCCUUCAAGAUUGGCUUCGGAGUGAAUCGCUUCUUGUAAAUGUUGAGGAAGAUUUAGAUUUUCUCGAGACACUCGAGGAAGGUAUGUAUAUUUUAAUUAAUUUUAUUGUAUUUCUAAGAUAGUUAAAUAAUAUAUUAAUUGUUUGACUUGUUAAUAUAUAUUCUUAUUAUGUUUUACUAGUAUUGACAAAGAAGCUUCCACCGACAAUGUUUGCUAGAGUUUGCUACCUGGCAGGUGCAACGUAAGUUCUCUCCUCUAUCUGUUUUUAGUUUCGCAAGCAUGACCCCCAGAUUGAUGUAUGCUAUAUAAAUGUUUUGGGUUCACAGAUGAAUGAGGAAAUAUGGAGACUUCAAGUUCUAUGCUAUCACAGUUAUCAUCGCAACAACUGAUGAAAAUUUAUGUAUGCGUCAGCUGGUUGUCCUUGUACAGAAUGUUGUUGAUGCCUUAAUCCUGAUUGCCACUAUUUUUGUCCUUGUCCAAAAUGUUGUUGAUGUAUGUAUAAUUUACGUUUAUGUAUUGAA
rnacentral:lncRNA from 1 species